GAUGAACGCUAGCGGCAGGCCUAAUACAUGCAAGUCGAGGGGUAGAGCUAGCUUGCUAGCUUGAGACCGGCGCACGGGUGCGUAACGCGUAUGCAACCUACCUCAAUCAGGGGGAUAGCCCGGAGAAAUCCGGAUUAACACCGCAUAAAAACACAGGGUAGCAUUACCCAAUGCUCAAAUAUUCAUAGGAGUGGGAUGGGCAUGCGUGCCAUUAGCUAGUUGGCGGGGUAACGGCCCACCAAGGCGACGAUGGCUAGGGGAUCUGAGAGGAUGACCCCCCACACUGGUACUGAGACACGGACCAGACUCCUACGGGAGGCAGCAGUAAGGAAUAUUGGUCAAUGGGGGCAACCCUGAACCAGCCAUGCCGCGUGCAGGAUGACGGCCCUCCGGGUUGUAAACUGCUUUUGUACGGGAAUAAACCUUUCUUCGUGAAGAAAGCUGAAUGUACCGUAAGAAUAAGGAUCGGCUAACUCCGUGCCAGCAGCCGCCGCAG
rnacentral:rRNA from 1 species